rnacentral:rRNA from 1 species
CCUACGGGUGGCAGCAGUGAGGAAUAUUGGUCAAUGGGCGCUAGCCUGAACCAGCCAAGUAGCGUGAAGGAUGACUGCCCUAUGGGUUGUAAACUUCUUUUAUAUGGGAAUAAAGUGCAGUAUGUAUACUGCUUUGCAUGUACCUUAUGAAUAAGGAUCGGCUAACUCCGUGCCAGCAGCCGCGGUAAUACGGAGGAUCCGAGCGUUAUCCGGAUUUAUUGGGUUUAAAGGGAGCGUAGUCGGGUUGUUAAGUCAGUUGUGAAAGUUUGCGGCUCAACCGUAAAAUUGCAGUUGAUACUGGCAUCCUUGAGUACAGUAGAGGUAGGCGGAAUUCCUGGUGUAGCGGUGAAAUGCGUAGAUAUCAGGAGGAACACCGGUGGCGAAGGCGGCCUGCUGGACUGCAACUGACGUUGAGGCCCGAAAGCGUGGGGAGCAAACAGGAUUAGAUACCCUUGUAGUC